AAUUAAGAAAGAGUCUUGAUAUUCUCUUGUCAAACUGACAUACUUUCAUAUUUCUUAAGAGAAGCAAGAAACACAAUUAAUCAGAUGGCAUUUGAAAUUUAUGAUUUCUUACAUCGACCUCAAGUUAAUAUAUGAUAAUAACUAGCUAGGUUCACAACUAAAUACUAGUAGUAGACAUUUAAUUAUCGAAUUCUUUAAUACAUAAAUAAAAGAUUCGGACAUGAACAAAAACUACCAGAUUCUGUAAACUCAUAGAUAACAUGUUAGAUUCGCCAAUUUGACAGUAACACCUAACAUUCUUUGGUCAAGCAUUCAUUAGGGGGAGGUUAUAUACAUUAAGAGGAUGACUUUAUAGUGUUAGAGACUUAAAAUACAACAUACAUUUUGGUCGUUAUUUUAUUCUUUAAUCUUGAAUCCUGCAAAAAAAAAAAAAAUGAAAAGAAUGUCUCAAGCAUAUUACGUAUAUAUGUAGAUCAUUGACACAAAACUCUCGAUAACUAGAUUAAUUCUAUGUUCAAAGUUAACUAGCGGUAAACUAAGCUAAUAUAUGAUAUCCUCAUUGCCAUUAAUUAUUAAUUAGACAACGAUAGAAGUAUGCAUACACAUGUAUAUAUAGAAUGGUAUUUGAAAAGGAAAACUUAAGCACUUCCUAAUUACUUCCCCACAUAAAUAGCUAGAGAAGUUGUACAAAAUGGUUGCAAGGACUAUGAUUAUAGCAUUCCUAGUUUUGUUAACGUACUUCUUAGAUACUAAUGCAGCAAAUAUUUCAACUGAUGAAGCUGCAAUUUUAGCUUUCAAAGCUCAUAUAACUUCAGAGUCGAAUGGAAUAUUGUCAAAAAACUGGACAAAAGGGACUAACAUUUGCAAUUGGAUAGGCAUAUCUUGCAGUAAAAGGCAUCAAAGAGUGACAUCAUUAGUCCUUAAAAGCUUUGGAUUUAGAGGUUCAAUAGCUAAAGAAAUUGGUAACCUCUCAUUCCUUAGCUUUUUGGACAUUGGAAACAACAGUUUCCAUGGACAAAUCCCAGAUGAAAUCGGGCGUUUGAGGCGUUUAAAAUAUGUCUUUGCAAAUGAAUAAUCUUACUGGUCAAAUCCCACAAAGCCUUGGAUCAUUUCUCACUAGGCUUCAAAUUCUUGAUCUUUCUGGAAAUGAUCUAUUUGGAGUUGUUCCAUUUUCCAUUUUCAAUGUGUCUUCCUUAAAGCUCAUUGAUUUGGGACGAAAUCGGAUUAGUGGGGAUCUGCCAAGGGGAUUUUGUACUAGGCUUCCAAAUCUGCAAGGUUUAUUACUCGCAACAAAUCAAUUAGUAGGCCAAAUCCCAAGUGGGCUGAAUCAAUGCACACAACUUCUUUAUCUUUCCUUGUCAUAUAAUCAGUCACAGGUACUCUCUCCGUCUCAAAUCAUCUGUCAUAAUUUCUUAAAAUAGUUAUUUCAAAUUACUCCAUCUGUUCAUGUUACUCGUCCAGAGAGUGGCCAACUUUACUUCUCCUGUUUGAAAAACCAAGAGAUAUUUUACCAUUUUGAAAAAUGUCACAUAAAUUGCGACAAAGAAGUACAUGAUUAAGAAUCAUUUAAUCCUUUUACAAUGUUAUGGGGCUAUUUGAUAAUGUUCAUAUGUAUUAUUAACAGGAGGUUUGCCAAGAGACAUGUGGAAUUUGACAAAGCUUCAAGAUUUAUAUAUUGCUCGGAAUAACCUUACAGGUAAUAAUAAUAUUGAGCAGUCAGAAUAAAGGUAACCAAUUUGUAAAUGACCUGCUUAGAUUUUUGGAAUGAAUUUGCAAGAAUAAUACCGAAUGAAAUCGAGAACCUAUCGUCAAUUCGAAGAUUAAAUCUUCGAAGAAACGAGUUAGUUGGAACACGGCCAUCAACUCUUAGGGAAUUCGUCAACUUUGGUGAUGAUAGACAUUGGUGAGAACCAAAUCCAUGGUAAUAUUCCUCAAGAACUAGGACAUCUCUCUAGUCUUGAAGAAUUAUAUCUUGGAUCCAACAUGUUAGCAGGUGAAAUUCCGAUUGGAAUUUUCAACAUUUCAUCGCUAAAAGUAAUAGCACUUACUGCAAAUAGUCUGUCUGGCAAACUUACUUCAUACUUGGCUAAUAGCCUUCCAAAUCUUGAGGGACUUUAUCUUGGGAUUAAUCAGUUUAGUGGUACACUUCCUAGCUCCAUAUCAAAUGCUACUAAGCUCAACUUUCUUGAUCUUGGAAGGAACAUGUUUAGUGGAAAUGUACCAAUUGAUCUGGGAAUAACUCUCCAGCAGAUUCAAAGCAUCAACUUGCAAAGGAAUCACUUUACAAAUGAUCCCUCAUCUACGGGUGAAUUAAGUUUUCUAAAUUCCCUCUCAUAUUGCAAGUUCUUGAAAACUAUAAUGAUUGGAGACAACCAAUUUAGGGGCAUUCUUCCGAAAUCAUCCUUGACUAACUUGUCAUUGUCUCUUGAGAGUUUCAUCGCCUAUGACUGUGGAAUCAGGGGGGAAAUCCCAGUUGAAAUCAGUAACUUGACUAACUUGUCGUGGUUAACACUGGGAGCCAAUGAGUUAAUUGGUUCAAUUCCUCAAGAAUUGGGGAAGUUGAACAAGAUGCAAACUUUGAGAAUGUACUACAGCCAAUUAGAUGGGAUCAUACCUGAAAACUUAUGCAAUAUCAAAGAAUUGUACUUCUUGGACUUGAGAAGAAAUCGACUAACAGGGAAAGUACUAGGGUGUUUGGGAAAUAUUUCUUCAUUAAGAAAUAUAUAUUUAGAUUCCAAUGCUUUAAGUUCAGAUAUUCCAUUAAAUUUUUGGAGUAAUAAGGAUAUCUCAAUUGUAAGUUUGUCGUUUAAUCAGUUAAAUGGUCCUUCGGAGUUGGAGAUUGGAAAUAUGAGGGGUCUACGUGAGUUAUAUCUAUCAGGAAAUGAGUUGUUUGGUCAAAUUCCAAGCACCGUUGGACAACUCCAGAAUUUGGUUAACCUUUCAUUAGAUAUGAAUAGGUUAGAUGGUGCUAUACCUAAGACAUUCGAAUAUUUGGUCAGCUUGGAAUACUUCGAUUUGUCACAUAACAAUUUAUCAGGCCAAAUUCCAAUGUCAUUGACAAAGCUUAAGCAUCUCAUCUAUCUGAAUGUCUCUUUCAAUGAACUAUCUGGUGAAAUUCCAGAUGGAGGUCCUUUUGGUAAUUUCACAGCUGAAUCGUUCAUAGGCAAUGGAUAGUUAUGUGGACCAUCUAGAUUCCACGUCAAGGCGUGCAAAAACCAGAGCGAUAUGGGAAGAAACGGGAAGAAAACAGUACUAAAAUUUGUUCUUGGACCAGCUGUAGCUGGAGCCGUGGUUAUAGCCAUUUUAUGCAUUAUUUGGUGGUUGAAAUAUUGAAAACGGAAAAACCAACUUAGUCCUUUAUGGUCCGAUUGGUAUGGUCAAUUAUCACACAAGAGGUUUUCUUACUAUGAAAUUGUUAACAGGGACUAACAACUUUGAAGAAUCGAAUUUGAUUGGAAAGGGAAGCCUUGGUAUGGUUUAUAAGGGGACAUUUACAAAUGAGACAGUAGUAGCCGUGAAGGUUUUCAAUGCACAGGUGCAAGAUGCAUUCAAAAGGUUUGAUUUGGAGUGUAAGGUUUUGCAUAACAUUCGACAUAGGAAUCUUGUUAAGGUGAUAAGUAGUUGUGCAAAUCUUGAUUUCAAGGCACUGGUGCUAGAGUAUAUGCCUAAUAGAAUCUUGAUUAUUGGCUUUACUCUCACAAUAAUUUCUUGGAUUUAAUCCUGAUACAAAAGAUCAAACUUACAAUAAGGAAUCAAGAGAACAAUAAGAACAACAUCACUAGAGAAUCAAAGGCCCCACUCGGCUUUUCUAGGUUUUCAAGGCAACAACGACAAUAUUCAACAAAAUAGAUAAAUAACACAAGAUUGCAAUAACUAUAGUGAAUCGAAAGAGCCCCACACGGCUUCACUAUAUCAAGAUACAAACAACAAGAUUGCAAAAUGAUGGAUAGUAACUUGACACAAAAUAACCUAGAAUCUAAGAACCCUAACAUGAAGAUUAGGACCCUAAGACUAAAAGAUAUUUACACCAAAUUCUUACUUGAAUCAAGAGGAACUCAUGAACCUCAAGACCCCCAAGUUUCUAGCCAAAGAACAACAAAAGCGUUACUACACUUUGUUGUCUAGUUUUGGGUUCACUCUCAAGAACAAGAGAGAAGUUCUCAAAAUAUUACAAGACUUGUGUUUCUUCCAUAAUAAAAAUGAACUAAGUCCAAGAAAUAACCCUAUUAUUGUCUAUUUAUAGUACUCCACAAAAUNNNNNNNNNNNNNNNNNNNNNNNNNNNNNNNNNNNNNGAGAGAGGUCACAUAUGUUGAAGGUGUUGUGCACUUGAUAUUCCGGAGGAAGGUCAAUUUUGUAGGCAUUAUCAUUGAUUCUUUCAAGUACUUGAAAGGGACCAUCACCCCUCGGCAUCAACUUGGUUUUCCUUUGUGAAGGAAACCAGUCUUUUCUAAGGUGCACCCAAACCCAAUCACCACCCAAUUCAAGAAUAAGCUUUCUUCUCCCCUUGUUUGCUUUCUUAGCAAUCUCUUGAUUUUUCUUCUCAAGCUUUUGCCGCACUUUCUCAUGCAAUUUCUUCAUAGCUUCGGCCUUCUUGCUUCCAUCUAAGCUAAUCAUAAGAUCACUUGGCAAAGGAGUUAAAUCCAAAGGGGUGAGGGGGUUGAUGUCGUAUACACACUCAAAGGGAGUCAUUCCCGUACUUGAGUGUAUAACCCGAUUGAAUGCAAAUUCCACCAAAGCUAGGUGGUCCUCCCAUGAAGUCAUUUUGCCUUUAACCAUUGAUCGUAACAUAGAACCCAAAGUCAUAUUUACAACCUUGGUUUGGACAUCGGUUUGUGGGUGGCAAGAUGUUGAGAAUAGCAAUAAAAGAAGCCACACUUGACGCAUCUUCACUUUUUGAACAAGGAAUAAAGUGUGCCAUCUUAGAAAACCGAUCAACCACAACAAAAAUGUUAUCCCUACCUCGUCUAGUCCUCGGCAAUCCUAACACAAAAUCCAUAGAUAUAUCAGGCCAAGGACGUAAAGGAGUGGGAAGCAAGGUAUAUAACCCGUGAGGGAGGAGCCGAAACUUGGCUCCCUUACAAUCUACACAUUGGCCGCAAAUCCUAGCCACAUCCUUGUGCAUUCUAGGCUAAUAGAAUUGCUCCUCCAAUAUCCCGAGGGUCUUGUCAAUCCCAAAAUGACCCAUUAGACCGCCAUCGUGUGCUUCCCUUACAAACAACUCUCUCCAAGAGCUAGAAGGUAUACACAAUCGUCUACCUUUAAACAAGUAACCAUCAAACUUGGCAUAAGGAUUUGAACCCCUAUCCGAAACCCACUUGUCCCUACCCAAUUCUUCCCAUUCCCUAAAGAUAGAAUCAAAGUGAGGAUCCUCGGGAUACAAUGCCUUUAGGCUCUCAAAACCCAUUAACUUUGAAGACAAAGUGGACACGAGUACAUAUUUUCUAGACAAGGCAUCGGCAACCACAUUGUCCUUACCCUUCUUGUAUUGAAUAACAUAAGGGAAGGUUUCUAGAAACUCAAUCCAUUUGGCGUGCCGUUUGUUAAGCUUGUCUUGUGCCCGUAAGUGUUUCAAGGACUCAUGGUCCGUCCGGAUCACAAAUUCCUUGAACCACAAGUAGUGUUGCCAAUUGCCCAAUGCUCUAAUCAAGGAAUACAACUCUAAAUCAUACGUGGAGUAGUUUAGAGUAGCACCCUUGAGCUUUUCACUAAAAUAAGCAACGGGUUUUAAGUCUUGCAUCAAAACAGCUCCUAUGCCUACUUUACUAGCAUCGCAUUCAACUUCGAACGUCUUAUCAAAGUUGGCCAAUUAUAACAAAGGAGCGAAAAUGAGCAUAGUUUUCAAAGCUUCAAAAGCCUUAGCUUGCUCUUCACCCCACUUGAAGGGUUGCUCUUUCCGAAUGACCUCGGUCAAGGGGGCGUCUAUGGUGCUAAAUCCUUUGACAAACCUUCUAUAAAAACUAGCCAACCCUUGGAAGCUUCUUACUUCACCAACGGUUUGUGGGAUUGGCCAAUUUUUUAUAGCGUCUAUCUUGGAUUCAUCCACUUCGACCCCUCUUGAACCAACAACAAAACCCAAGAAAACAACUUCAUUAACACUAAAGGAACACUUUUCAAGAUUGGCAUACAACUUUUCUUUUCUAAGCACAUCAAAGACACUUUGUAAAUGCAAUACAUGCUCAUCUAUGGACUUUCUAUAUACCAAGACAUCAUCAAAAUAAACAAUAACAAACUUUCCAACAAAAGGCUUCAUCACAUGAUUCAUUAGCCGCAUGAAAGUACUUGGAGCGUUGGUUAGGCCGAAUGGCAUAACCAUCCAUUCAAAGAAACCAAAUUUGGUCUUGAAGGCGAUUUUCCAUUCAUCACCGGGUUGCAUACAAAUUUGGUGAUAACCACUCCAAAGAUCUACCUUGGAAAAUAUACAAGAACCAUUCAUCUCAUCAAGCAUGUCAUCUAAUCUAGAAAUAGGGUGACGAUAUUUUACCGUAAUCUUGUUGAUGGCUCGACAGUCCACACACAUACGCCAAGUUCUACCCUUCUUUGGUACUAAUAAUAACGGAACCGCACAUGGACUCAUGCUCUCUUUGAUGUAACCUUUGUUGAGAAGUUCAACUUGUCGUUGUAGUUCUUUGGUGUCCGUAGGGUUGCUUCUAUAAGCCGGUUUGUUUGGCAAUUGUGAGCCCGACACAAAGCCAAUUUUAUGCUCAAUACCCCGAAGUGGGGGCAACCCUUGCAGAAGUUCUUUGGGAAAAACAUCUUCAUAAUCCUGCAACACGGGAAAUCAAAGGAGAAAUAGAAGAAUUAGUGAGGUUAGUGUUAAAACAAUGUGCCAAAAGAAGCAUGGGUGUGUCCUCAUCAUGAUCCACGAAGAGCUUCUUCUUUCUAACCAACAUCACCAUAGUUUCUUUUCCAUUUGAUAUUGAGGCAGCCCCGGAUACCCCCACUACCCCUCCUACCGGUUCCCCCUUCUUUUCUUUAUUUUCGUAUUUCUUCCCCUUUUCUUUCAAUUCUUUCAUCCUUUGAUGCAACUCAUUCACUUGUGAAGGCAAAAGUGGAUGAAGUGUGACCUUUCGGCCAUCCUUCUCAAGUGUAUAUCGAUUAGACCUCCCAUCAUGUUUGGUAGACCUAUCAUAUUGCCAAGGUCUACCUAACAACAAGUGACACGCUUGCAUUGGUAUUACGUCACAAAGCACUUCGUCAUGGUAGUUUCCUACCUUAAACCGUAUCACACAUUGCCUCAUGACUUUCAAUUCACCACAUUCAUUUAACCAUUGCAACUUAUAAGGGCUAGUAUGAAGUGUAGUGGGCAAUUUCAAGAAGUUCACCAUAGCAACACUAACAAUAUUUGCACAACUACCACUAUCUAUCACCAAAGUGCACACACUACCCUUCACAAGGCACUUAGUAUGGAAUAGAUUCUCCCUUUGGCUAGGGUCAUCUAUUGCCUUACUAAUCAUGGCACGCCUCACUACAAAGUUCAGAAGAACACACUCUCCUUCUUGCGGAUAAACAUCUUCCCCAUCAUCAUGAUCAUGUGGCUCACCCUCCGUUUCCUCUCCAUCUUGAGGCUCGGCCUUAUUUUCCUCUCUUUCAACACCCACUUCUUCACCAAGGAAAUACAAUCUACCUUCCCUUAGGAUUACAUUGCGUCGGUUAGGGCAUUCUUUGGCUUUAUGCCCCCAACCUUGGCACUUGAAGCAUUGGAACCCUUUAGGAUUAGGAUACUUGUGAACUUCUUGCCUCGAAGGAAUUUUGGGGACUGUUUUGGGCUCGGGCAGCCUAGUAAUGACGAGAUGGUGCUUAUUUUUGGGCCAACCCAAAGAGGAUUAACCAUAUCCUUGCCCCUUGGCCAACCCAAGGUCGAUUGUCCCUUUGCUUUGAACGAUGACCUCUCUUUAAGUUCCCUUUCCAUCUCAAGAGCCGCUUGGAAAAUACCUUCGACGGUAUCAAACUUAUGAAGUGUCAAAUGAGUGGAGAUCUCUUUGUUCAACCCACACUUGAACCGAAUGAUGUCAUGACUAAUUUGUUCUCCACGAUGAUAAAGAUUCAACAUGAGUUGUUGAAACUCAUCAUAAUAUGCCAUCACACUUCAAUUCCCUUGUCGCAAAUUGUACAACCUAGCAAUCAACUCAUGACGAUAAUUUUUGGGAAGAUACCAUUGCCUCAUUAGAUACCUCAACUGAAACCAUGGUGGUGGUUGUCCAUCAAUCAACUCAUUACCAAACCUUUUGACGUAUUCCCACCAUGUGUUAGCAUAACCUUCAAAGUGAGCUAUGGCGUCACAACUCUUCUUCUCUUCUGAGAUAUCAUUCACUUGAAACACUUUAUCGCACGCCGAUUCCCAAGCAAGAUAAACCUCGGGGUCACUUUCACCCUUAAAGAUAGGUAGGCUCAAUUUGAUGUUAUUGAUGCCUACGUCUCUCUCUUGGUGUCGGUUUUCCCUUUCUCCAUACCCUCGGUAUCUUCUUGGAUCCACACGUCCCCCUCUCAUCUCCUCUUCCCUCAUGUAAGCCUCAUCAAAGGCUCCAUACCCUUCAUAAUUCGCUCUACCAUAUUCCUCAAAGUGGACGGGACAGUUUUGAACGUUUGGGACUUGAUUUGGAGGAAUUGUAUUUUGUAGAGGUAGUGGUAUUUGGUUUAGUGGAGCUCGGAAGGGAGAGUUUGGAUUUAGUGGAGGUAUUGGACACCCAAGUCCUUCUUGCGGAACUUGAGGAGUUUGGGAAUGGGUUGGUCUAUUGGAGUCUCGGGUUAGGGGGUUAUGGGUCGUUUGGCUUGCGGCAUUUAGAGGAGCUAGUGAAGGAUUUGGCAGUUGUGGACAUGUUUUGGGAGUAACGGUGGCGGAGGAAUUUCUAUCAUGUCCACUUGAGGAAACAUGUCGAGGGGUAGAAGGGUAAGAGUUUCUUUGACCCUCCACUUAUUCUAACCUCCCACUAAUAGUCGUUACUUCUCCCCUUAUGGCUCCCACUUCCGUACUCAACCUUUCAAGAGUUCGGAUCAUAGCCUCAGGAGUGACCCUCAUAUUCUCCAUUUCAUUAGAAUCCACGGUUUGAGACGUGGUUCCCUCCAUUGUCAAGGUAUCACCUACACAAGCAAUAAACAAGUUAGUUUAAAACCUCUUCUCACUCACACUCUCUUGGUCCACUCACACUCAAGCUCCACAAGUGUUGUAGAUUGGCUAGUAACCCCUUAAUUAUCAUGUGAAAAGUAACUAGGGUGACGUGGUAGCAUGUCAUUGUCCACGGGUCCACAUACAUUGUUCAUCAACUUGAAGCCUUGGUCCCUUUAUAUCAUGUGUAAUGGAUGACUAGUUAUUGGGAGGGAAACAUAAAGUUUUGUAACUUUUUUUUUUUUCAACUUUUUCAAACUCAAAAGGUGAUGUUUGAUCUUACUAGUUCCACAAGACAAGGUUCCUUGCUUUAAGGGAAAAGUGGUUGUCAAGUCUAGAAAGGUGAUGUUGGUAAGUCUUCUCACAAACAACUUUUUCAAUUUUGUCUUGCAACCUUUUUGGAUCUAUUGCUCUUUUAAGACAUAGGAUGAUGAGAAACUUUUAAGAUGAACACAACAUCAACACCUUCAAGAACAAAACAACAAUACACCACAAUGGCACUCCAACAUCCAACACAAGUCAAACUCAAGGACACUUCAAGUUUUCACCACAACAAGUCUCUUCUUAUUAAGCUCAACUUUAGAUUUAGACACUUUUUUGUGUUGAUGGGGAAGAGACCAACACAAGAAACAAACUAAACAAGUAAAAUCUUAUGUAGAUCUAUUAAAGAAAAUAAGAAAAUCUNNNNNNNNNNNNNNNNNNNNNNNNNNNNNNNNNNNNNNNNNNNNNNNNNNNNNNNNNNNNNNNNNNNNNNNNNNNNNNNNNNNNNNNNNNNNNNNNNNNNNNNNNNNNNNNNNNNNNNNNNNNNNNNNNNNNNNNNNNNNNNNNNNNNNNNNNNNNNNNNNNNNNNNNNNNNNNGACAAUAUUCAACAAGAUAGAUAAAUAACACAAGAUUGCAAUAACUAUAGUGAAUCGAAAGAGCCCCACACGGCUUCACUAUAUCAAUAUACAAACAACAAGAUUACAAAAUGAUAGAUAGUAACUUGACACAAAAUAUCCUAGAAUCUGAGAACCCUAACAUGAAGAUUAGGACCCUAAGACUAAAAGAUAUUUACACCAAAUUCUUACUUGAAUCAAGAGGAACUCAUGAACCUCAAGACCCCCAAGUUUCUAGCCAAAGAACAACAAAAGUGUUACUACACUUUGCUGUCUAGUUUUGGGUUCACUCUCAAGAACAAGAGAGAGAAGUUCUCAAAAUAUUACAAGACUUGUGUUUCUUCCAUAAUAAAAAUGAACUAAGUCCAACAAAUAGCCUUAUUAUUGUCUAUUUAUAGUACUCCACAAAGUGAAUGGAAAAUGACCAUUCUAGCCUUGGUGUUGGGUGGCUUUGGAGUGUAAUAAACUUACACUUCAAAGCCCUCUUCACACUUCAAAACAUGAAAUCCCUUAGAUGAAUUAAUUACACACUCACACACGGCCAUUUGCAUGAACAUGGCUUGGAGUUUUUGUAAUUCCCGAGCUUGGCUACGUGUGAAUGGUCUUGAGCUAGUUGCACUUGUAUCAAAUCCAGAGGCUGAAAAUUAUGGUUGAUGUGGCUUGUGCCUUAGAGUAUCUACACCAAGGCCAUUCACUUGUCGUGGUCCAUUGUGACUUAAAACCAAGUAACAUACUUUUGGAUAGAGACAUGGUUGCCAGAGUAAGUGACUUUGGUAUAUCUAAACUCUUGACAACGCAUGAUCCAGUGGCACUGACGAAGACCUUGGGCACCAUUGGCUACAUGGCACCAGGUUACUUCUCUAUUAACUAAUUUCUUCAACUUGUACUGUAUGUGUAUCUAUAUAUAUUUGUAUCACAGGCAGAUCCAAGAUUUAAAUUUGAUGCUUUCAACCUUCAGGUUCUCAAUGAAUAAACUAGUUUUAGAGAAUACAAGUUUCUCCUUGUGGAAGCGAAUUUGCUGUCACCGUGACUUAUGUUACCGAAAGUUGAGAAUCCUCAUAAUACAGAAAAUCCCCCAAUUUCCACAGACUAAAAUUCUUCUAGAUGCAAAGAGUAUUUUUUCGUUCUAAUGAGCCCUAACCACUUCUCUCUUAAUGAAGAAGAGCAUGUUCUUCAACAUCCAUAAUUGUGUUUUUAUAAGCAAUCAAUUAGGUUAACUAAUAAACCUCAAUAAGUGGACCAGGCCCAACAAAAUGGCAUAAAUACAUUUACUUUAAAUGCGUUUGCUUUUACCUCUUGAUGGCUAAUUUGAUGAAUAAAAUGUUAAAAUGUUGCAGAGUACGGGUCAGAAGGGAUAGUGUCAACAAUGGGGGAUGUUUACAGCUACGGCAUUUUAUUGAUGGAAACCUUCACAAGAAAGAAGCCAGUAGCUGAUGAAUUUGUUGGAGAGCUUACCUUGAAGAGAUGGGUUGUGGAAUCACAUCCUCAUAGGGUCAUGGACAUUGUGGACGCCAAUUUAUUUUCAAGAGAUGAACAUUUGAUAGCUAUUGAAGGUUGUUUGAGAUCGGUAUUGGAAGUAGCUCUUGAAUGUACUGUGGACUUGCC
rnacentral:lncRNA from 1 species